AGAGUUUGAUCAUGGCUCAGAGCGAACGCUGGCGGCGUGCUUAACACAUGCAAGUCGAGUGCGCGCCUGUAGCAAUACAGGUGGCGCACGGCGCACGGGUGCGUAACACGUGGGCAAUCUGCCCUCGGAUGGGGGAUAACUCGCCGAAAGGCGAGCUAAUACCGCAUGACAUUCCUGGGACUCCGGCCCCGGGACUCAAAGGCCGCAAGGCCGUCUGAGGAGGAGCCCGCGCCCGAUUAGCUAGUUGGUGAGGUAACGGCUCACCAAGGCUUUGAUCGGUAGCCGGUCUGAGAGGAUGGCCGGCCACACUGGAACUGAGACACGGUCCAGACUCCUACGGGAGGCAGCAGUGGGGAAUAUUGCGCAAUGGGCGAAAGCCUGACGCAACGACGCCGCGUGGGGGAUGAAGCUUCUCGGAGUGUAAACCCCUUUCGACCCGGACGAAUGACCCGCAAGGGUUUGACGGUACGGGUAUAAGAAGCCCCGGCUAACUACGUGCCAGCAGCCGCGGUAAUACGUAGGGGGCCAGCGUUGCUCGGAAUUACUGGGCGUAAAGGGUUCGUAGGUGGUGCGGCAAGUUGGAAGUGAAAUCUCUGGGCUUAACUCAGAGGCUGCUUUCAAAACUGCCGUGCUCGAGUGCGGGAGAGGCCAGUGGAAUUGCAGGUGUAGCGGUGAAAUGCGUAGAUAUCUGCAGGAACACCCGUGGCGAAGGCGGCUGGCUGGACCGCAACUGACACUGAGGAACGAAAGCUAGGGGAGCAAACAGGAUUAGAUACCCUAGUAGUCC
rnacentral:rRNA from 1 species